AUUGAACGCUGGCGGCAGGCCUAACACAUGCAAGUCGAACGAGUGGCGGACGGGUGAGUAAUGUCUGGGAAACUGCCUGAUGGAGGGGGAUAACUACUGGAAACGGUAGCUAAUACCGCAUACCAUCGGAUGUGCCCAGAUGGGAUUAGCUAGUAGGUGGGGUAAAGGCUCACCUAGGCGACGAUCCCUAGCUGGUCUGAGAGGAUGACCAGCCACAGUGGAACGGAGACACGGUCCAGACGCCGACGGUAGGCAGCAGGGGGGAAUAGUGCAAAAGGGGCGCAAGCCUGAUGCAGCCAUGCCGGGUGUAUGAAGAAGGCCUUCGGGUUGUAAAGUACUUUCAGCGGGGAGGCGUUACCCGAAGAAGAAGCACCGGCUAACUCCGUGCCAGCAGCCGCGGUAAUAC
rnacentral:rRNA from 1 species